GAGAUAUUAAAUCAAAUUUGAUGGAGCCACCGUAAACAUCUUCCUAUCAAGAAGUAUGUUACAUAUCAUUGAAAAAAUAGCGCCAUUAAUUCUUAAAACAAACUUAGAAAAAUAAGAAUACCAGUGCCUAAUCGAGAGAACUCGAACCAGUUGUCACAAGGAACCUAAACAACUGAGCUCAACUAGUCAACUUGCUUCUUAGGAGAAAAAAACUUAUCCCAUGUAUUGCUCCCAUUCGAGAGAACUCGAACCAGUUGUCAAACAGCUGAGCUCAACUAGUCAACUUGCUUCUUAGGAGAAAAAACUUAUCCCAUGUAUUGCCCCCAUUUUUUGCAUGCUAGUAAAUAAAGAUCCCCUAUCGCGCCAGUGGUACUUUGCAACAACCCUAUGGGCUAUGGCACAUCCAAUCCAUCUGUAUAGCUUAUAUGCGGGAGCUCCCCCCAU
rnacentral:lncRNA from 1 species